rnacentral:rRNA from 2 species
UAACACAUGCAAGUCGAACGAAGUAGCAAUACUUAGUGGCAGACGGGUGAGUAACAUGUGGGUAUCACCCUUUUGGCCUGGAAUAACACGAGGAAACUUGUGCUAAUACCGGAUAAGUCUUUACGGAGAAAGCUUUAUGCACCAUUGGAUGAGCCCGCACUUGAUUAGUUUGUUGGUAGGUAAUGGCCUACCAAGACUAUGAUCAAUAGCUGGUUUGAGAGGAUGAUCAGCCACAUUGGGACUGAGACACGGCCCAAACUCC